CAGCUCACACAUCCCCUUGCUUCCUUGUGAAAGAGGAAGACCAUAUUAUUGGUCAAUGCAGGCCAUUGUCAAAGACUGAGGUUUAAUGUGUUGAAAGUGAUUCCAGCUGGUUCUUCUGGUGGUGGGAAAAAGGCAUUUACAAUGUGAGUUUAGUGGAUCAACUUCAAUUAGAAUGUUUCUUUUGAUCUGUACUCUCUUAAGGUUUGAGUUUUUGUAUGUCGCCAAUUUACAAUUUUUUCAAUUUGUCAGUCAUAUAACUCGAGUGUGCAAUGUGGUGAAGUUGUCAUUGUUUGCUAGCUAGUAGUUUGUCCCUUUGGAAACAUUGCCUCACAUAGUAUACAUUUCUGUCGGAUUAUUGACAUUGCUUCUUGUAUUAUACAUUUCUCUGGGAUUAUUGUUGUUAUUAGUGAAGCAUUUGGAUUUUAUGUGGAGCA